rnacentral:rRNA from 1 species
UACAUGGGGUGCAAACGUUGCUCGGAAUCAUUGGGCGUAAAGCGCGCGUAGGCGGUUACUUAAGUCGGAUGUGAAAGCCCUCGGCUUAACUGAGGAAGUGCAUCCGAAACUGAGUAGCUAGAGUACGAAAGAGGGUCGCGGAAUUCCCGGUGUAGAGGUGAAAUUCGUAGAUAUCGGGAGGAACACCGGUGGCGAAGGCGGCGACCUGGGUCGACACUGACGCUGAGGCGCGAAAGCGUGGGGAGCAAACAGG